AAGGAAGUGGCAGAGUGGUUAUGCGGCUGGCUUGAAACCAGUAUAUGGGGGUUCAAUUCCUCCUUUCCUCG
rnacentral:tRNA from 1 species